rnacentral:rRNA from 1 species
AAACUUUUGGACGGCGGUGAAGACGGUGCCUCUUAUGCUGUCGAAGGGUGAAGCCCAGUUUUUUGGGUGGAUUAGUGGGGAACGGGUGAGUAACCCGUGAGUACCCUGCCCUUAACUUUGGGAUAAGCCUGGGAAACUGGGUCUAAUCCCGGAUAGGAGGGCCUACCGCAUGGUGGGUGUUGGAAAGAUUUAUCGGUUUUGGAUGGACUCGCGGCCUAUCAGCUUGUUGGUGAGGUAAUGGCUCACCAAGGCGACGACGGGUAGCCGGCCUGAGAGGGUGACCGGCCACACUGGGACUGAGACACGGCCCAGACUCCUACGGGAGGCAGCAGUGGGGAAUAUUGCCCAAUGGGCGCAAGCCUGAUGCAGCGACGCCGCGUGAGGGAUGACGGCCUUCGGGUUGUAAACCUCUUUCAGUAGGGAAGAAGCGAAAGUGACGGUACCUGCAGAAGAAGCACCGGCUAACUACGUGCCAGCAGCCGCGGUAAUACGUAGGGUGCGAGCGUUAUCCGGAAUUAUUGGGCGUAAAGAGCUCGUAGGCGGUUUGUCGCGUCUGUCGUGAAAGUCCGGGGCUUAACCCCGGAUCUGCGGUGGGUACGGGCAGACUAGAGUGCAGUAGGGGAGACUGGAAUUCCUGGUGUAGCGGUGGAAUGCGCAGAUAUCAGGAGGAACACCGAUGGCGAAGGCAGGUCUCUGGGCUGUAACUGACGCUGAGGAGCGAAAGCAUGGGGAGCGAACAGGAUUAGAUACCCUGGUAGUCCAUGCCGUAAACGUUGGGCACUAGGUGUGGGGACCAUUCCACGGUUUCCGCGCCGCAGCUAACGCAUUAAGUGCCCCGCCUGGGGAGUACGGCCGCAAGGCUAAAACUCAAAGGAAUUGACGGGGGCCCGCACAAGCGGCGGAGCAUGCGGAUUAAUUCGAUGCAACGCGAAGAACCUUACCAAGGCUUGACAUGUUCUCGAUCGCCGUAGAGAUACGGUUUCCCCUUUGGGGCGGGUUCACAGGUGGUGCAUGGUUGUCGUCAGCUCGUGUCGUGAGAUGUUGGGUUAAGUCCCGCAACGAGCGCAACCCUCGUUCCAUGUUGCCAGCACGUCGUGGUGGGGACUCAUGGGAGACUGCCGGGGUCAACUCGGAGGAAGGUGAGGACGACGUCAAAUCAUCAUGCCCCUUAUGUCUUGGGCUUCACGCAUGCUACAAUGGCCGGUACAAUGGGUUGCGAUACUGUGAGGUGGAGCUAAUCCCAAAAAGCCGGUCUCAGUUCGGGUUGGGGUCUGCACUCGACCCCUUGAAGUCGGAGUCGCUAGUAAUCGGAGUUCAGCAACGGUGGGGUGAAUACUUUUCCGGGCCUUUUACACACCGCCCGUCAAGUUACGAAAGUUGGUAACCCCCAAGCCGGUGGGCUAACCCUUUGGGGGAGCCCUAUAGUGUCCGCAUAGGUGCUCCGCCCCACCCC